rnacentral:lncRNA from 1 species
AGAGUGAAGGAAGGGAAUGCUGGAGCCUGGCUGAGACUCUGGAGGUCUCUGCAGUGGUUUUGCACAAGUUGUCUAGAAAAAGGACAAAGUCUCCUGGUUGAGAAUUCGUGGCAUGAAGGUCUGAGCAAGAGGAACUGUACUUUCCUUUGCAUCACUGGCAUUUCAGCCCAGAGCUCUCCCACAUCUCAUAAGCUGCUUUGAGCCCAUGCAGUACACAGAGUGGAAAAAAAAAAGAAUUGAAGAAGCAAAAAUAAAUAUUAAAGCACGUAAGAAUUAAAUAUCACCUAUUCAAAUAGCAAUUAUGCCGUUGAAAACAAGAUCACCACACCUGUACAAGAAAAGACAACCAAGCCUAAAACAUCUGUUUGGAUCCACCUGCCAAGCACCUGUUCUGCUGUUUCAAUGCCAUUUGAUUGCUGGAGAUGUAGAGGCUCUUGUGAGGUUUCUUGCACAGUUGUUUGCUUUGUGCUGAUGGAAGAUGCUGCAGAGUCAGGUCUUUAUCCACAGACCAGUUUCCACACCGGGAACUGCGGGAUAAAUCAGCCCAUGCUCCUCAUCAUGGAGAAUUCAGCAGCUGCUUGGGAUCAUCUCCCAGAGAUGAAGGAGAUGUGGAAGUCAAACUGAGAGGCUGCAGCAUCCCCUCUGCCUCUUCCCAAGACACUGGUGCAAUGCUGCCCCUGAACACAGGGUGAAACAAGGCUCUGGAAAUGAGCACAACUCGUGUCCAGCAGGGAUGUUGACAAGUAUAGGUGGGUUUUUGAGG